rnacentral:lncRNA from 1 species
CCUUAAGCAUUAAGGGAUGAGCCCUUGAAGCUCCUUAAUGCCCCUGCUCUGUGUCAUUCUACUACCACACAUUCUUGCCUUACACAGGAAUCAACUCUUCUGAGCUGUGUUUAACACUGUAUAAUUUCCUUCUUCUUCAUUAUUGUGGUACUGGGGUUUUAGCUCAUCUUUCUUUCAACCUCACUGACUGAACUUUCUUGAGUUUUUGACUGUUUUGAGGUGCUUCUCUUAGAAGGUUGUCCAGGGUAUUGUUUCCAGACUGUGUGUUAUCUUUACAUUUACCCUAUCAGCAGCACUUUUGCUCCUGGCCAGUGAUAUUGGAAUGCUCAUAACACCUAGGUCUAUUUUUCCCCAAAUCUUCAACCAACCUAAAUUCCACCAAAUUUUGAUUGCCUCAGAAAUAUUUCAGGAGCUUUUCUAAUAUGUUGUCUGCCCCUCCUUCCUUCAAAAGACACCUUUAGAAAACGAUUGCAAAUUCUUUCAGAAUGCUUACAGUGACAACACUGAGAAGACUCCAGCUCUACAAGAAAAUGAUUGAUGGUCAGUGCUUGUACCUGACUGCAUGUGAGAAGUCAAACUGUACGACACCUCCUCAUAUGGCACAUCUGGGUCACUGCGUGCCACUCCUUGAAGCUUUUCCUUCAAAGGCUGGAAUAGUCUCCAUCUACUCUUCACUACCCACUUCCCUCAGGGGCUUUAAGAAAUAUUUUGCUUCAAGCACCACAUGGCUUCUCAUGGAAACCACCAUUAGGAAGGGGCAAUCCUAGUCUUUGCCACUGGGCCUUUCACCUUUACCUCAUCAUUUCCUGCAAAAGAUGGUGUUGGCCAAGGGCUGGGGCAAGAGACACUCACUAACUUCAUGAUCCCACCGCUGUGCCUUGGUGAAGCCCUUUCAGUCCUGAAUGAGAGAGGUUGUGUGUCUGUGCUCUGGAUAUCAAUAACCCUCUUUUCUCCACUCUGGCAAAAGCUAGAUUUAGUGUUCAAAUGGGGCUUGCCAGCAUUUCUGUAUAUACAUUCAUUUAUUUUCAAGCAUACAGAUGUAUUUCAAGUAAAGCUCUAGGGCUUCAUUCUCAUGUGUUUUUUUUUUUUUUUUUUUUUUUUUUUUUUUCCCAGGGUUAACUGCAGUGACGAUAAUAGACAUUAUGUUGGCAUAAGUAAAGGCAGGGACCAGAAGCCAAGUGUUUUGGCUUAAGACCCAAAGCAAAGCAUACUCUAAACUUAGCAUGGCAUUCUGAGUAAGAAAACACCUCACACGUGAGAUAUUUCUGUAAUAUUUUUUUUUUUUUUUUCUUUUUCUCUUUUCCCUUUUGGCUGUGCUUCUGUCCUCUCACCAGAAAUGAAGUUUAAUGGAGUGGUAUCAUACAGUGGAGGUGAAAUGGCCAGGGGCUCAGUCAUGCACUCUGUCAAAUGCCAUAGCUCCAGUCCAGUAAAGCCCUUAGGCAUAUGACUGCUUUCAGAGAGUCUCACAAAAUGAUACAAUACUUCAAAUUGAGCCAUGAAUUGCCAAGAAACAUGUAUACAGGAUAGGUAGCUAGUCACUAUUUUGAAUUGUUAAGAGGGAAAAAGUGAAGCAGAGGUUAAAGUAUCUACACGCACAUAGACAUUUGAGCUCUGUUUUUCUAUUUUGGACCUUUUUACUUCAAUGACUAUGUAAUUACCAUAAUUUCCAGUGGAGUUACUUUGAAAUUACUAUGUAGUUUACUGUAUCUGUCUAAUUAACUUGUCUCACAACUGUAAGUGGAAUGUACCAUCAUUUCCAAUCUGGAAAGCACUUCUUUGGAACCAUAUUCUGACAAUUCAAGAAUAUUUCUGCUAUGUUUUUGGCUCUUAGAGUAGCUAUUGUUUAGAAACAUACAGUCUUGAGGCUUGAGAGUAAAUAGAGAAUUAUUGUGUUUGCCUGGUGCUUAAAAUGAAGCCAUUUUUCCUGUGUUUGGUUAACCCACUUUUAAUAGGAAUUGAUCAUACUGUGAAUUAGAACUUCCAUUAGGAACUACAUGUCAGAAAAGCACAAGUGGUUCUGGCUGAAUUUAGAAUUUCACUGCUGGAGGGUGCCUGGGAGCAUAUUUAUGCUGACUCUUGCUGUUAAUGUGGAAAUAUAAGUGGUAUCCUCCUGGAGUUAUACUAACCCCUUAAAUCUUACCCACCUUUUUUUUAUUAUAAAUUCAAAUAUUAACUUUGUAAUCAGCAUUGCUGUUGGUAGAUAUGUCAAGAAAUAAAUAUCAAGACUUAUCUGUAUGAGCAAGGUUUACAACUGAGAGUAAGAUGGGAAGAGCAAAGUUGGAGAGGAAAACUGCAGAAAGGUUCCCAUCCUAAUACGUUUUAUUUUGCCUCAUUAUUGCAAUCAUUGUGGAAACAAACUUUACUUCUAGUACAUCAUUACUGUACUUUGUAUGAUAUCCUGAUAUCAACAGCAGUUGGCUCAGCCUUGUGAUAGGAGAAAAGUAUACAGAUAUUGUUAUCCAGUUAUGAGAAGCCUUUGUAGACAGCUUGUUUAAAGCAAAACAAAACAAACAAACAAACAAAACAAAAACAACAACAACAAAAAAAAAACAGUUCAUGUCCUCUUGCAUUUCUGGCAACACACUAAUGAAGGUUUAUGCAAGUUCCUGAUGAUAAAUUUGCUAUCACUGCAAUGAGGGCAGUGAGAGAGUGAAAGAAAAUUAUGAUAUAUACAUACCCUCAUGAUGUAUGUGCCCUCUGGAGAAAGAGAUGCUCUGGCUCUCAGCAUAAUUUUGCAUAGUUCUGUUUUCUUGUUUUUGGAAAGAUUACAGACCAGAAAAUAAGGGAUUUCUAUUGCCGCUGAAAGGGAAGAUCGAGAAUGUGAUUUUCAUUGCUCAUUCUCCCCACCCAAAAGCACACAGACACAUUUGUAAGUGUGCUCUCCAAACUGUUAACACAUGUAAAGGAUUUCUAAGUCUCAAACACUGUUUUCUGUCUUUCUCGGAGACUGCUGCAGGGAAUGACUUCAAUAUACGUUUAGU